UCGCAUGGCGAAAAACACAGGGUCCAGUGAUAAAAAGCCCCGAAUAUUCGGGGUUUUUUGUUAUCAGGUAAUCGUAAUUUUGGGCUUCAGGCCCUUUUUUU
rfam:Tatumella ptyseos ATCC 33301 GTPT.assembly.004, whole genome shotgun sequence.